UACCCUCGCGCUAUUUCCCUUUCCAAUUUCACUCUCACACCCACCCAUUGCGCCCUAGACAUGGUGAACUCAUUUCCCCUCUCUUGCAAUUUCAAUCUCGCGCAUAGCCCCCACUGGCCUUCUCCUGAAUUGCUCACCCUCAUUCUUCCUUGCUAUAGAAGCUCGUAUCACGCGAUUCCCUCCAUUGGCUUUCCUUCUCACUGUCUCUCUCUUCAUCACGCGGCAAACACCGCACGCCUCUCUUCAUCAAGUGAAAAACGCUCCACAGCUCUCUUCGUUGCCUUCUCACCGGUCGUUGCCUUCGUUGAGAAUAAAAUGUUUUUUAUAACCAAGGUGUUGAUGUCUCUGUGUUUGCAGAUGCAGGAACUGAUCCUAGGAUAUAAAAAUGUCGUGUCUUUUACCCAGAAACCCAAAGGUGAUAUUAUAUCAGUCUUGAAAGCUGAGAAAGAAGAGUUGGAAUCAUCACUCAGCAAGGAGAAACAACAUGCUCUUCAAUUAAACCAAGAGCUGACAGAAGCUGAGUCUCGUAACACUGACCUUUAAAAGAUAAACUACCUUAAUUGUUGAAGUUACUUUUUAGUUUGGAAUUAUAGGUAUGGAUUCAAUUCAGGAAUCAAGCAUUAAAGUGGGUAAUGAUUACUAGCAAAUAAAAAUUAGAAUUUAAAGAACUAUUCUAUUGCUCUUUUUCUGUCCAGAGCUUUGACUUAUAAGACAACACUCUUUCUAUUUUCUUUGAACUAUACUUCUUUCUUUGGUCUUUUGGUCUCUAGAUCAGUCGAUUGGAUUAAAAGACCCAAGCAAAAUGGGGUGUAUGAUUGAACUGGUUGAUUCAGAGUAGUAAUUUUGAUUAAUUUCUAAACCACUUUCCACUUUCAAAUUGUUCAUGAAAUUGCUACAGGGGCACAAUAGAAUCUUGCUUUCAAUGCUGGUAAUGCUCUACGAAUAGUAGAUGAAGGUGGAGUAUAUGCACUUGUCAUCAGUGCAAAAAUGGCAUGCUUCAUGGUUGGAUUGGCAUUCACUUACAUGUUUGAGGGGAGCUUGUUGACGAAGAUUACGAAGAAGGAUGAUAUUAAAAUCUGAUAUAUGUUUUGUUAAUUGAGUUUGUAAUAGUUAUACUUUAGAAAGAUUUAUCAACAAAUACACUAACACUUUAUAACUAGACUAUAUAUUGUGACAAUGAAUUAUCUGGAAAUUAGAAUUUAUGAAAUUUUUAUUCCAUGAAG